GAUGAACGCUGGCGGCGUGCCUAAUACAUGCAAGUCGAGCGAACGGACGAGAAGCUUGCUUCUCUGAUGUUAGCGGCGGACGGGUGAGUAACACGUGGAUAACCUACCUAUAAGACUGGGAUAACUUCGGGAAACCGGAGCUAAUACCGGAUAAUAUUUUGAACCGCAUGGUUCAAAAGUGAAAGACGGUCUUGCUGUCACUUAUAGAUGGAUCCGGGCUGCAUUAGCUAGUUGGUAAGGUAACGGCUUACCACGGCAACGAUGCGUAGCCGACGUGAGAGGGGGGUCGGCCACACGGGAACGGGAACACGGUCCAGACGACUACGGGAGGCAGCAGUAGGGAAUCGGACGCAAUGGGCGAAAGCCUGACGGAGCAACGCCGCGUGAGUGAUGAAGGUCUUCGGAUCGUAAAACUCUGUUAUGAGGGAAGAACAGAUGUGUAAGGAACUGUGCAGAGCGUGACGGUACCGAAUCAGAAAGCCACGGCUAACUACGUG
rnacentral:rRNA from 1 species